GACGAACGCUGGCGGCGUGCCUAACACAUGCAAGUCGAGCGAGUGAAUCUCCUUCGGGAGUGAAGCUAGCGGCGGACGGGUGAGUAACACGUGGGCAACCUGCCUCAUAGAGGGGAAUAGCCUUUCGAAAGGAAGAUUAAUACCGCAUAAGAUUGUAGCUUCGCAUGAAGUAGCAAUUAAAGGAGCAAUCCGCUAUGAGAUGGGCCCGCGGCGCAUUAGCUAGUUGGUGAGGUAACGGCUCACCAAGGCGACGAUGCGUAGCCGACCUGAGAGGGUGAUCGGCCACAUUGGGACUGAGACACGGCCCAGACUCCUACGGGAGGCAGCAGUGGGGAAUAUUGCAAAAUGGGGGAAACCCUGAUGCAGCAACGCCGCGUGAGUGAUGACCGCCUUCGGGUUGUAAAGCUCUGUCUUCAGGGACGAUAAUGACGGUACCUGAGGAGGAAGCCACGGCUAACUACGUGCCAGCAGCCGCCGUAA
rnacentral:rRNA from 1 species